rnacentral:rRNA from 1 species
GACGAACGCUGGCGGCGUGCUUAACACAUGCAAGUCGAACGGAAAGGCCCUGCCUUUGUGGGGUGCUCGAGUGGCGAACGGGUGAGUAACACGUGAGUAACCUGCCCUUGACUUUGGGAUAACUUCAGGAAACUGGGGCUAAUACCGGAUAGGAGCUCCUGCUGCAUGGUGGGGGUUGGAAAGUUUCGGCGGUUGGGGAUGGACUCGCGGCUUAUCAGCUUGUUGGUGGGGUAGUGGCUUACCAAGGCUUUGACGGGUAGCCGGCCUGAGAGGGUGACCGGCCACAUUGGGACUGAGAUACGGCCCAGACUCCUACGGGAGGCAGCAGUGGGGAAUAUUGCACAAUGGGCGGAAGCCUGAUGCAGCAACGCCGCGUGCGGGAUGACGGCCUUCGGGUUGUAAACCGCUUUCGCCUGUGACGAAGCGUGAGUGACGGUAAUGGGUAAAGAAGCACCGGCUAGCUACGUG